UGUGUAGGCGGUUGCUUAAGUUUGGUGUGAAAUCUCCCGGCUUAACCGGGAGGGUGCGCCGAAUACUGAGUGACUAGAGUGCGGGAGAGGAAAGUGGAAUUCCUGGUGUAGCGGUGAAAUGCGUAGAUAUCAGGAGGAACACCGGUGGUGUAGACGGCUUUCUGGACCGUAACUGACGCUGAAACACGAAAGCGUGGGUAGCAAACAGGAUUAGAUACCCUGGUAGUCCACGCCCUAAACGAUGCACAUUUGGUGUGGGUCAUUCAGUUGAUCCGUGCCGGAGCUAACGCGUUAAAUGUGCCGCCUGGGAGUACAGUCGCAAGGCUGAA
rnacentral:rRNA from 1 species